rnacentral:rRNA from 1 species
UACAGGGGGGGCAAGCGUUGUUCGGAAUUACUGGGCGUAAAGCGCACGUAGGCGGCUUUGCAAGUUAGAGGUGAAAGCCCGGGGCUCAACUCCGGAAUUGCCUUUAAAACUGCAUCGCUAGAAUCGUGGAGAGGUGAGUGGAAUUCCGAGUGUAGAGGUGAAAUUCGUAGAUAUUCGGAAGAACACCAGUGGCGAAGGCGACUCACUGGACACGUAUUGACGCUGAGGUGCGAAAGCGUGGGGAGCAAACAGG